GAUUAAGUUAUUAAGGGCGCACGGUGGAUGCCUUGGCACUAGAAGCCGAUGAAGGACGUUACUAACGACGAUAUGCUUUGGGGAGCUGUAAGUAAGCUUUGAUCCAGAGAUUUCCGAAUGGGGAAACCCAGCAUGAGUUAUGUCAUGUUAUCGAUAUGUGAAUACAUAGCAUAUCAGAAGGCACACCCGGAGAACUGAAACAUCUUAGUACCCGGAGGAAGAGAAAGAAAAUUCGAUUCCCUUAGUAGCGGCGAGCGAAACGGGAAGAGCCCAAACCAACAAGCUUGCUUGUUGGGGUUGUAGGACACUCUAUACGGAGUUACAAAGGACGACAUUAGACGAAUCAUCUGGAAAGAUGAAUCAAAGAAGGUAAUAAUCCUGUAGUCGAAAAUGUUGUCUCUCUUGAGUGGAUCCUGAGUACGACGGAGCACGUGAAAUUCCGUCGGAAUCUGGGAGGACCAUCUCCUAAGGCUAAAUACUCUCUAGUGACCGAUAGUGAACCAGUACCGUGAGGGAAAGGUGAAAAGCACCCCGGAAGGGGAGUGAAAUAGAACCUGAAACCGUGUGCUUACAAGUAGUCAGAGCCCGUUAAUGGGUGAUGGCGUGCCUUUUGUAGAAUGAACCGGCGAGUUACGAUUUGAUGCAAGGUUAAGCAGUAAAUGUGGAGCCGUAGCGAAAGCGAGUCUGAAUAGGGCGUUUAGUAUUUGGUCGUAGACCCGAAACCAGGUGAUCUACCCUUGGUCAGGUUGAAGUUCAGGUAACACUGAAUGGAGGACCGAACCGACUUACGUUGAAAAGUGAGCGGAUGAACUGAGGGUAGCGGAGAAAUUCCAAUCGAACCUGGAGAUAGCUGGUUCUCUCCGAAAUAGCUUUAGGGCUAGCCUCAAGUGAUGAUUAUUGGAGGUAGAGCACUGUUUGGACGAGGGGCCCCUCUCGGGUUACCGAAUUCAGACAAACUCCGAAUGCCAAUUAAUUUAACUUGGGAGUCAGAACAUGGGUGAUAAGGUCCGUGUUCGAAAGGGAAACAGCCCAGACCACCAGCUAAGGUCCCAAAAUAUAUGUUAAGUGGAAAAGGAUGUGGCGUUGCCCAGACAACUAGGAUGUUGGCUUAGAAGCAGCCAUCAUUUAAAGAGUGCGUAAUAGCUCACUAGUCGAGUGACACUGCGCCGAAAAUGUACCGGGGCUAAACAUAUUACCGAAGCUGUGGAUUGUCCUUUGGACAAUGGUAGGAGAGCGUUCUAAGGGCGUUGAAGCAUGAUCGUAAGGACAUGUGGAGCGCUUAGAAGUGAGAAUGCCGGUGUGAGUAGCGAAAGACGGGUGAGAAUCCCGUCCACCGAUUGACUAAGGUUUCCAGAGGAAGGCUCGUCCGCUCUGGGUUAGUCGGGUCCUAAGCUGAGGCCGACAGGCGUAGGCGAUGGAUAACAGGUUGAUAUUCCUGUACCACCUAUAAUCGUUUUAAUCGAUGGGGGGACGCAGUAGGAUAGGCGAAGCGUGCGAUUGGAUUGCACGUCUAAGCAGUAAGGCUGAGUAUUAGGCAAAUCCGGUACUCGUUAAGGCUGAGCUGUGAUGGGGAGAAGACAUUGUGUCUUCGAGUCGUUGAUUUCACACUGCCGAGAAAAGCCUCUAGAUAGAAAAUAGGUGCCCGUACCGCAAACCGACACAGGUAGUCAAGAUGAGAAUUCUAAGGUGAGCGAGCGAACUCUCGUUAAGGAACUCGGCAAAAUGACCCCGUAACUUCGGGAGAAGGGGUGCUCUUUAGGGUUAACGCCCAGAAGAGCCGCAGUGAAUAGGCCCAAGCGACUGUUUAUCAAAAACACAGGUCUCUGCUAAACCGUAAGGUGAUGUAUAGGGGCUGACGCCUGCCCGGUGCUGGAAGGUUAAGAGGAGUGGUUAGCUUCUGCGAAGCUACGAAUCGAAGCCCCAGUAAACGGCGGCCGUAACUAUAACGGUCCUAAGGUAGCGAAAUUCCUUGUCGGGUAAGUUCCGACCCGCACGAAAGGCGUAACGAUUUGGGCACUGUCUCAACGAGAGACUCGGUGAAAUCAUAGUACCUGUGAAGAUGCAGGUUACCCGCGACAGGACGGAAAGACCCCGUGGAGCUUUACUGUAGCCUGAUAUUGAAAUUCGGCACAGCUUGUACAGGAUAGGUAGGAGCCUUUGAAACGUGAGCGCUAGCUUACGUGGAGGCGCUGGUGGGAUACUACCCUAGCUGUGUUGG
rnacentral:rRNA from 1 species